UAUUUGGUUGCAGUUGUGCGGUGGUUCACGCCUCGUGCUUUUUGAUGAAAGUAUUUUCUUUUCGGACAUCAUGACGCACAUUUUAGUGAAAUGCUUUAACGACGAUAAGUGGGACGUUUAUCCGGUGAAGUGGUUGGCUCACCCAACAACUAGUCUUCUAUUGAUGUGCGAGCCUGACGGUUUUGAUGAGUUGCGCGGCAGAGGCCAUGAUGCCUCUUGGAGAGAAGGCACCCCGAAACAGUCGCAGCCGCACUUCUGAAGAUAGGUUACGUAUGCAGUAAAUUCCCAGAUGCUAAAGUGUUCUACGCCAAAAGCACCUUGGCGUCGUGCAAGAGACACCCGUUGAUAUGUGGCUGAUUCACUAGCAAGCUCGCAUCUCUGUUGCCACUCUCCAUCAAGUGGGAUUUUCAACUAUAUUUUGUGUUGCUCUGUGGUGUACUAGCUGCCGCAUGGACGCUGUGAAGGCUUACUUUCGAUUUGCUCUGGCGUUUAGUAGUAAAGGAUGGGCUACCUUUUGAGGGGAGGCAUUUACUUUUGUUUGUGAGAAUGUUUACCAGCCUAACCAAGUGAUACGUGGGUACUGUAAACAGCAGCACGAACAGAGGCGGACGACGAAAUAGGUAGGAGCACACACGAGCGCAAGCUCUACUAAAAGUUUGCUUUUGAUGACAAAGGUAUUAAACACACUGGUCAACUUGGCAAAGGUAAAAAUCCGUGCAUGCGGGGCAGAAACAGCCACUUGCGACAAGAAAAAUAUAUGAAGCCAUGUCAUGUAGAAUAAACGUGCGUGAAAAACGAGAACUAUCGGUCAAAUCUAUUGAAAAAGCGAAAGAUUUGUCCGAUAAGUGAUACUACCCAACGGGAAAUACUCUUUUGAGAACAACUUUUUCCCACUAAGGGCAACAGAUACCUUGGUUAUGCAAUUGUUUCGUUUGUGAUCAAUAAAUAUUUCUUCUGGAACUCCUCUGGUGUUGUGGUAUAGAGCAGAAAGAACGAUUGUUUCAUCACAAAGACCAGAACACAAGAGGACUUAUGGAAGCAUUACUUAUUGAUCACGAAGAAAUAUUCAUAAGCAAGAUUUCUGUGACCAUUAGUGGGAAAGAGUUGCUGCAGUACUUCUCGUUAAUAUCACUUACAGGAGAAACCUUUCAGUUUUCAUGUUUUUGUUAGUUUUUGACGCACAUGUUUAUUCUACAGGACGUAUUUAGGUCCUUUUUUGUUGUGCCGGGCUGUGUAUGCUGCGCAUCCAUGGCUUUUCUUUGUGAAGUUGGCCAGUGUGUUUAAAAUCUUCGUCUUCACCAAUAAACUUCUACUUGAGUACGUCAGCGUUCAUGUGUGUUCCUACCUUAAUUCAUCCUUCUCGUCUCUGUUUGGGUGGUUGUGAAAUAUAAGUGUACACCGAAUUGGCGAAGUGUCCAUAGAAUUGAUACAUGAAGUUAUUUGCGCUGUUUAUUUCAGGAAGAACGCUAUAGGGUCUUAUCUUCUCAAUGUUUUUGACACUGAGUACAUUUUUCUAGUUCAAUUUCAAGGAGUCCCCUGAGGAAGCCAAUAAGAGUGAUGGUAACUUCCUUUGUGUGUAAGAUUUAUGAAUUUCAUCCAUUCAAGGCAUGACAUGGCACAUGCCUGAUUGUAGGUUGCAAGCAUUCGUAGUAAGAUCUACUUUUCAGUUCUCAUGACGCUUCUUUGUACUGCGCUGCAUUCUCCAGGCACAUGAACCUUUUUAUGCUCUUAGUGCAUGCGUUCUUUUUCUGUAUGUUGGAGCGAAAAUUGUAAACUUAAAUAUACAUAUAUAUCAUUUUCCUUGUAAUCUUUUUCAACAUGGGUGCUGUAGCUCCCUCUGUCUUUCAGUUACUGCUUUGUCCCAAUUUUUAUGCAACCUUUAUGUAUUUUAUGCAGCAAAAUUCUGGUGCUAUUUUAAUAACAUUUUAUCCGCGAAAUUGAGGUAAUUGGUGUUUCGUAUAUGCAUUUAUUGGCGUUUUUCACUGUCUCAGCAAUCUGGCUGUCGAGUCAUUGGAACCUUUUCUCAUACUUUAUGACUAUUUCUGGGGUGCUUGAUACUGAAAGUGCAGGUGACCAUUUAUUUGGCUGUUUGGAAUUGUGUUAGCCAUGUGUUACUACCAAUUUUCUGUGCUAAAUAAUUAUUUUUUCUCUUAUCGUUCAAGGUA